CCUACGGGUGGCAGCAGUGAGGAAUAUUGCACAAUGGGGGAAACCCUGAUGCAGCGACGCCGCGUGAGUGAAGAAGUAUUUCGGCUCGUAAACUUCUAUUAACAGGGACGAAAGAAAUGACGGUACUUGAAUAAGAAGCCCCGGCUAACUACGUGCCAGCAGCCGCGGUAAUACGUAGGGGGCAAGCGUUAUCCGGAAUUACUGGGUGGAAAGGGUGAGUAGGCGGCAUGGUAAGCCAGAUGUGAAAGCCUUGGGCUUAACCCGAGGAUUGCAUUUGGAACUAUCAAGCUAGAGUACAGGAGAGGAAGGCGGAAUUCCUGGUGUAGCGGUGAAAUGCGUAGAUAUUAGGAAGAACACCAGUGGCGAAGGCGGCUUUCUGGACUGAAACUGACGCUGAGGCACGAAAGCGUGGGGAGCGAACAGGAUUAGAUACCCUUGUAGUC
rnacentral:rRNA from 1 species